UUAGAGUUUGAUCCUGGCUCAGGACGAACGCUAGCGGCAGGCCUAAUACAUGCAAGUCGAGGGGUAACAGGGAUCUUCGGAUCUGCUGACGACCGGCGCACGGGUGCGUAACACGUAUGCAACUUACCCAUAAGGGGAGAAUAGCCCAGAGAAAUUUGGAUUAAUACUCCAUAAGUAUAGAGUUCGCAUGAACUUAAUAUGAAAGAAAUUCGCUUAUGGAUGGGCAUGCGUCCCAUUAGUUAGUUGGAGAGGUAACGGCUCACCAAGACAUCGAUGGGUAGCUGGUCUGAGAGGAUGAUCAGCCACACGGGCACUGAGACACGGGCCCGACUCCUACGGGAGGCAGCAGUAAGGAAUAUUGGGCAAUGGGGGCAACCCUGACCCAGCCAUGCCGCGUGCAGGAAGAAGGUCCUCUGGAUUGUAAACUGCCUUUCUCAGGGGAUAAUAAAGUGCUAUAGGCACAUAUGCAGGUACCUGAGGAAUAAGCACCGGCUAACUACGUGCCAGCAGCCGCGGUAAUACGUAGGGUGCAAGCGUUGUCCGGAUUUAUUGGGUUUAAAGGGUGCGCAGGCGGCUUAUUAAGUUCGUGGUGAAAGCGUGCGGCUCAACCGCAUACCCGCCAUGGAUACUGGUAAGCUUGAGUGUGUCAGAGGAGGUUAGAACGCGUGGUGUAGCGGUGAAAUGCAUAGAUAUCACGCAGAAUACCGAUUGCGAAGGCAGAUCUCUAUGACACAACUGACGCUGAGGCACGAAAGCGUGNGGAGCGAACAGGAUUAGAUACCCUGGUAGUCCACGCUGUAAACGAUGAUCGCUAGAUGUUCGAUUUUCGAAUUGAGCGUCCCAGCGAAAGUGAUAAGUGAUCCACCUGGGGAGUACGUUCGCAAGAAUGAA
rnacentral:rRNA from 1 species